AGCGUACACGGUGGAUGCCCUGGCAGUCAGAGGCGAUGAAGGACGUGCUAAUCUGCGAUAAGCGUCGGUAAGGUGAUAUGAACCGUUAUAACCGGCGAUUUCCGAAUGGGGAAACCCAGUGUGUUUCGACACACUAUCAUUAACUGAAUCCAUAGGUUAAUGAGGCGAACCGGGGGAACUGAAACAUCUAAGUACCCCGAGGAAAAGAAAUCAACCGAGAUUCCCCCAGUAGCGGCGAGCGAACGGGGAGCAGCCCAGAGCCUGAAUCAGUGUGUGUGUUAGUGGAAGCGUCUGGAAAGGCGCGCGAUACAGGGUGACAGCCCCGUACACAAAAAUGCACAUACUGUGAGCUCGAUGAGUAGGGCGGGACACGUGGUAUCCUGUCUGAAUAUGGGGGGACCAUCCUCCAAGGCUAAAUACUCCUGACUGACCGAUAGUGAACCAGUACCGUGAGGGAAAGGCGAAAAGAACCCCGGCGAGGGGAGUGAAAAAGAACCUGAAACCGUGUACGUACAAGCAGUGGGAGCACGCUUAGGCGUGUGACUGCGUACCUUUUGUAUAAUGGGUCAGCGACUUAUAUUCUGUAGCAAGGUUAACCGAAUAGGGGAGCCGAAGGGAAACCGAGUCUUAACUGGGCGUUAAGUUGCAGGGUAUAGACCCGAAACCCGGUGAUCUAGCCAUGGGCAGGUUGAAGGUUGGGUAACACUAACUGGAGGACCGAACCGACUAAUGUUGAAAAAUUAGCGGAUGACUUGUGGCUGGGGGUGAAAGGCCAAUCAAACCGGGAGAUAGCUGGUUCUCCCCGAAAGCUAUUUAGGUAGCGCCUCGUGAAUUCAUCUCCGGGGGUAGAGCACUGUUUCGGCAAGGGGGUCAUCCCGACUUACCAACCCGAUGCAAACUGCGAAUACCGGAGAAUGUUAUCACGGGAGACACACGGCGGGUGCUAACGUCCGUCGUGAAGAGGGAAACAACCCAGACCGCCAGCUAAGGUCCCAAAGUCAUGGUUAAGUGGGAAACGAUGUGGGAAGGCCCAGACAGCCAGGAUGUUGGCUUAGAAGCAGCCAUCAUUUAAAGAAAGCGUAAUAGCUCACUGGUCGAGUCGGCCUGCGCGGAAGAUGUAACGGGGCUAAACCAUGCACCGAAGCUGCGGCAGCGACGCUGAUGCGUUGUUGGGUAGGGGAGCGUUCUGUAAGCCUGUGAAGGUGUGCUGUGAGGCAUGCUGGAGGUAUCAGAAGUGCGAAUGCUGACAUAAGUAACGAUAAAGCGGGUGAAAAGCCCGCUCGCCGGAAGACCAAGGGUUCCUGUCCAACGUUAAUCGGGGCAGGGUGAGUCGACCCCUAAGGCGAGGCCGAAAGGCGUAGUCGAUGGGAAACAGGUUAAUAUUCCUGUACUUGGUGUUACUGCGAAGGGGGGACGGAGAAGGCUAUGUUGGCCGGGCGACGGUUGUCCCGGUUUAAGCGUGUAGGCUGGUUUUCCAGGCAAAUCCGGAAAAUCAAGGCUGAGGCGUGAUGACGAGGCACUACGGUGCUGAAGCAACAAAUGCCCUGCUUCCAGGAAAAGCCUCUAAGCAUCAGGUAACAUCAAAUCGUACCCCAAACCGACACAGGUGGUCAGGUAGAGAAUACCAAGGCGCUUGAGAGAACUCGGGUGAAGGAACUAGGCAAAAUGGUGCCGUAACUUCGGGAGAAGGCACGCUGAUAUGUAGGUGAAGCGACUUGCUCGUGGAGCUGAAAUCAGUCGAAGAUACCAGCUGGCUGCAACUGUUUAUUAAAAACACAGCACUGUGCAAACACGAAAGUGGACGUAUACGGUGUGACGCCUGCCCGGUGCCGGAAGGUUAAUUGAUGGGGUCAGCGCAAGCGAAGCUCUUGAUCGAAGCCCCGGUAAACGGCGGCCGUAACUAUAACGGUCCUAAGGUAGCGAAAUUCCUUGUCGGGUAAGUUCCGACCUGCACGAAUGGCGUAAUGAUGGCCAGGCUGUCUCCACCCGAGACUCAGUGAAAUUGAACUCGCUGUGAAGAUGCAGUGUACCCGCGGCAAGACGGAAAGACCCCGUGAACCUUUACUAUAGCUUGACACUGAACAUUGAGCCUUGAUGUGUAGGAUAGGUGGGAGGCUUUGAAGUGUGGACGCCAGUCUGCAUGGAGCCGACCUUGAAAUACCACCCUUUAAUGUUUGAUGUUCUAACGUUGACCCGUGAUCCGGGUUGCGGACAGUGUCUGGUGGGUAGUUUGACUGGGGCGGUCUCCUCCUAAAGAGUAACGGAGGAGCACGAAGGUUGGCUAAUCCUGGUCGGACAUCAGGAGGUUAGUGCAAUGGCAUAAGCCAGCUUGACUGCGAGCGUGACGGCGCGAGCAGGUGCGAAAGCAGGUCAUAGUGAUCCGGUGGUUCUGAAUGGAAGGGCCAUCGCUCAACGGAUAAAAGGUACUCCGGGGAUAACAGGCUGAUACCGCCCAAGAGUUCAUAUCGACGGCGGUGUUUGGCACCUCGAUGUCGGCUCAUCACAUCCUGGGGCUGAAGUAGGUCCCAAGGGUAUGGCUGUUCGCCAUUUAAAGUGGUACGCGAGCUGGGUUUAGAACGUCGUGAGACAGUUCGGUCCCUAUCUGCCGUGGGCGCUGGAGAACUGAGGGGGGCUGCUCCUAGUACGAGAGGACCGGAGUGGACGCAUCACUGGUGUUCGGGUUGUCAUGCCAAUGGCACUGCCCGGUAGCUAAAUGCGGAAGAGAUAAGUGCUGAAAGCAUCUAAGCACGAAACUUGCCCCGAGAUGAGUUCUCCCUGACUCCUUGA
rnacentral:rRNA from 1 species